ACGAACGCUGGCGGCGUACUUAACACAUGCAAGUCGCACGAGAAAGGAGACUGCGGUCUCUGAGUACAGUGGCGCACGGGUGCGUAACACGUAAGUAAUCUGCCCCGAACUCCAGGAUAACCCUCCGAAAGGAGGGCUAAUACUCGAUAGGGUCCCCGAGGUGUAGGCUGCGGGGGGAAAACGGGCCUCUGUUUCAUGCUCGCGGUUCGGGAUGAGCUUGCGGCCCAUUAGCUUGUUGGUAGGGUAAUGGCUUACCAAGGCGACGAUGGGUAGCUGGUCUGAGAGGAUGAUCAGCCACACUGGCACUGAGACACGGGCCAGACUCCUACGGGAGGCAGCAGUGGGGAAUUUUGCGCAAUGGGCGAAAGCCUGACGCAGUAACGCCGCGUGGAGGAUGAAGGCCUUCGGGUUGUAAACUCCUGUCAGGGGGAACGACGGGGAAAGGGUGAUAAAUCUUUUCCUCCAGACGGUACCUCCAAAGGAAGCCCCGGCUAAUUCCGUGCCAGCAGCCGCGGUAAUACGGAAGGGGCAAGCGUUGUUCGGAAUCAUUGGGCGUAAAGGGCGCGUAGGUGGUUCUGUAUGUCUGCCGUGAAAGCAUACAGCUCAACUGUAUUUUGUCGGUAGAAACUGCAGGACUUGAGGCUGGGAGGGGCUGGUGGAAUUCCCUGUGUAGCGGUGAAAUGCGUAGAGAUGGGGGAGAACACCGGUGGCGAAGGCGGGUCUCUGGGCCGAUACUGACGCUGAGGAGCGAAAGCGUGGGGAGCGAACAGGAUUAGAUACCCUGGUAGUCCACGCUGUAAACGUUGGGCGCUAGGUGUGGGGAGCAUUCCACGUUCUCCGUGCCGUAGCUAACGCAUUAAGCGCCCCGCCUGGGGAGUACGGCCGCAAGGCUAAAACUCAAAGGAAUUGACGGGGGCCCGCACAAGCGGCGGAGCAUGUGGAUUAAUUCGAUGCAACGCGAAGAACCUUACCUGGGCUUGACAUGCAUCAGAUUUCCCCAGAGAUGGGGCUUCCCUUGUGGUUGGUGUACAGGUGGUGCAUGGCUGUCGUCAGCUCGUGUCGUGAGAUGUUGGGUUAAGUCCCGCAACGAGCGCAACCCUCGUUCCAUGUUGCCAGCGCGUGAUGGCGGGGACUCAUGGGAGACUGCCGGGGUCAACUCGGAGGAAGGUGGGGAUGACGUCAAGUCAUCAUGCCCCUUAUGUCCAGGGCUUCACACAUGCUACAAUGGCUCAUACAGAGGGUUGCGAGACCGUGAGGUGGAGCGAAUCCCUUAAAGUGAGUCUCAGUUCGGAUCGGGGUCUGCAACUCGACCCCGUGAAGUCGGAGUCGCUAGUAAUCGCAGAUCAGCAAUGCUGCGGUGAUACCGUUCCCGGCCUUGACUCC
rnacentral:rRNA from 1 species